AGAGUCGGUCUCUGGCCGUUAAAUGCAGAGCAUCUUGCCAAUGACACCAGUGGAGGAGGCAACCACGGCGUGGCUGUAGGAACAACUUUGGCAGAGGGACCUGAUGGUGAAGCUCAAUCAGCAUUCACCUUUGCUGGAAAUCAUCAAUCCUACAUAGAAAUUGCCAACAACGGAGAGCUGGAUGUGAAAAGAUCCUUCACCAUUCUGUUGUUCGCCUACCACCUUGGAGGUCAACCAAUGUUGGACUAUAGAGGCCCUGGCGCAGGGACACUUUUUUGGAUCUGGCCGGACCGCCAACUGUACAUCGAUAUUCAGGCCCCAUCCUCCCACGGGUUUCACUCGGCAAGUAACCUGCCUCAAGGACAAUGGAUGUUUCUUGGGGUUACCUACGACUACGCAACAGGGCAGGUCCAGCUUUGGAGAGAUGGUAUCAAUAUCAGCAGCACAAACUUUGGUCAACUGGACCACAGCACAGCGAACCCCAUCAAGCUUGCAGUCAGUCACGUAGACCUAC